rnacentral:rRNA from 2 species
AAAUUGAAGAGUUUGAUCAUGGCUCAGAUUGAACGCUGGCGGCAGGCCUAACACAUGCAAGUCGAACGGUAACAGGAAACAGCUUGCUGUUUCGCUGACGAGUGGCGGACGGGUGAGUAAUGUCUGGGAAACUGCCUGAUGGAGGGGGAU